AAGGGUCCGAAUGCUUAGGAACGAACAGUUGAAACCAUGGGUCCAUCGGUCCUAAAAGAUUGGCGAAACGCCGGUUCAAGUUGCGGGCAGCGAUGGGCCCUCCGUCCGCCUCCGCUCGACGGAAGGGAGUCGGUUCAGAUUCCCCGAAUCUGGAGAGGCGGAAGAUAGGCGCCGCGAGGCGUCCAGUGGGUAAACGCAAACGACCCGGAGCAAGCUGGCGGGAGCCCCGGGAAGAAGUUUCUUUUCUUUGUGAAAGGGCAGGGCACCCAUGGAAUGGUUUCCCCCGAGAGUAGGGCCCGUCCCUGGAAAGCGUCCGCGUCUCCGGCUGGCGUCCGGCUGAGUCGCUGGCUCUUGAAAAUCCGGUGAGAAGGUGUAAAAUCUCCGCCGGCAGGCCCGUAACCCAAUAUCCCCAGGUCUUUUCCCAAGGUGAACAGCCUCUGGCAUGAAUGGACAAGGGGGGUAAGGGGAAGUCCGGCAAAGUCAGAUCCGUAACUUCGGGAAUACAGGAUGGCUCUAAGGGCUGGGUCGGUCGGGCUGGGGUGCGAAGCGGGGCUGGGCCCUGGCCGGGCUGGGGAAGCCAGCCACCGCGCCUCCUGUCGUCCUCCCCCUCUGAAGCGUCUCGCGCGCGAGGGUUUUGGGCUCGAGGGUCUUUUGCGUGGCGUCGGCUCUUCGGGGUCGUCGCGGCGCGGGGCUCGAGGUCCUGCUCUCGAUCCAGGGGCGUGGAGGUGGGGUUGUGGGGGCUUCAGGCUCGGGCGGCGGUCCGGGGCUGGCGACUCUGACGUGCGUCGCGCCCUCUCGCGGAUCUCCUCAGCUAACGGGACUGUAGCGCUCCACCCGGAGGUCCGCGGCGGCUUCGCCUCGGCUGGCACCUAGCAGCCUGACUUAGAACUGGUGCCGGACCAGGGAAUCCGACACUGCUUUAAUUAAAACAGAAGCAUCGCGAGGGCCCACGCGGGGUUCGACGCAAUGUGAUUUGCCCAGGCUCUGAAUCUCAAAGUGAAGAAAUUCAAUGCGCGCGGGUAACGGCGGGAGUAACUAUGAACUUCUUAAGGUAGCCAAAUUGCCUCGUCAUACUAUUAGUGACGCAUGAAUGGAUGAACAGAUUCCCACUGCUCCCUACCUACUAUCCAGCAAACACAGCCAAGGGAACGGGACCUUGCAGAAUCAGCGGGAAAGAAGACCUUUGAGCAAUUGACUCUAGUCUGGUAACUGUGAAGAGACAUGAGAGGUUAGAAUAAGUGGGAGGCUCCGGCCGACGCUUGAAAAUACCACUACUUCUUAUCGUUUUUCCACUUACCCGGUGACUGGGGAGCGAGCCCGCCGAGCCGCGGUUCUUCGUUUCUCGUGUCAAACCCCCGGCUGGCCCCGGGGCAACCCGUCCCGGAGGACAGUGACAGGAUGGGAGUUCUUGAGACUGGGCGGUACCCCUGUAAAACGGUAACCAGGGUGUCCUAAGGGGCAUCAGGGAGGACAGAAACCUCCGUGGAAAGCAGAAGGGGCAAAAAGGCUCGCUUGAUCUUGCUUUUCAGUAUGAAGUACAGACCGUGAAAGCCAGGCGGCCUCACGAUCCUUCUGACGUUUUGGGUUUUAACAGGAGGUGUCAGAAAAGUUACCACAGGGAUAACCUGGCUUGUGGCGGCCAACGUUCAUCAGGAGAUCGCUUUUUGAUCCUUCGAGUCGGCCUCUUCCUAUCAUUUGAGCAGAAUCACCAAGCGAUUGGAUUGUUCACCCCUAAUAGGGCAACGUGAGCUGGGUUUAGACCGCGUGAGACAGUUAUUUAUUACCCUACUGAGAUUGUUGUGCAAUAGUAAUCCUCUCAGUACGAAGAGGAACCAGCAGGUCUCAGACAUUUGUGUAAUGUCUUGCUGAGGUGCCGUGUGGGCGGAGCUAUCGUCUGUGGGUUUAUGACUUGUACUGCUCUGCGUCAGAUGUGCGCGUAGAUGUGGAUGUGCGUAGUGGUUGCCGGGUUAGAGUGUGAUCCGGGAUAUACCUAUGUGUGGUGUCCGUGCAGUACACAACGUCAUACUGGAACUGGGAUGAGCAGAACACUGGCCGCUCAUCUCCAUGUCUACACUCCACUGUUUACCCCAGACACAGCGUGUCAACC
rnacentral:rRNA from 1 species